rnacentral:rRNA from 1 species
UACGGGGGGAGCAAGCGUUGUUCGGAUUUACUGGGCGUAAAGGGCGCGUAGGCGGCGCAACAAGUCACUUGUGAAAUCUCUGGGCUUAACCCGGAGCGGUCAAGUGAUACUGUCGUGCUAGAGUGCGGAAGGGGCUACUGGAAUUCUCGGUGUAGCGGUGAAAUGCGUAGAUAUCGAGAGGAACACCUGCGGCGAAGGCGGGUAGCUGGGCCGACACUGACGCUGAUGCGCGAAAGCCAGGGGAGCGAACGGG